GGCUAUUCUAGCUCAGUUGGUAGAGUGCUUGCCUCACAUGCACAAAAAGACCUGGGUUCAAUCCCCAGAGCCA
rnacentral:tRNA from 1 species